ACUCCUACGGGAGGCAGCAGUGGGGAAUAUUGGACAAUGGGCGAAAGCCUGAUCCAGCCAUGCCGCGUGUGUGAAGAAGGUCUUCGGAUUGUAAAGCACUUUAAGUUGGGAGGAAGGGCAUUAACCUAAUACGUUAGUGUUUUGACGUUACCGACAGAAUAAGCACCGGCUAACUCUGUGCCAGCAGCCGCGGUAAU
rnacentral:rRNA from 2 species